GUAACAAGGUCUCCGUUGGUGAACCAGCGGAGGGAUCAUUACCGAGUUUACAACUCCCAAACCCCUGUGAACAUACCUAUACGUUGCCUCGGCGGAUCAGCCCGCGCCCCGUAAAACGGGACGGCCCGCCCGAGGACCCUAAACUCUGUUUUUAGUGGAACUUCUGAGUAAAACAAACAAAUAAAUCAAAACUUUCAACAACGGAUCUCUUGGUUCUGGCAUCGAUGAAGAACGCAGCAAAAUGCGAUAAGUAAUGUGAAUUGCAGAAUUCAGUGAAUCAUCGAAUCUUUGAACGCACAUUGCGCCCGCCAGUAUUCUGGCGGGCAUGCCUGUUCGAGCGUCAUUUCAACCCUCAAGCUCAGCUUGGUGUUGGGACUCGCGGUAACCCGCGUUCCCCAAAUCGAUUGGCGGUCACGUCGAGCUUCCAUAGCGUAGUAAUCAUACACCUCGUUACUGGUAAUCGUCGCGGCCACGCCGUAAAACCCCAACUUCUGAAUGUUGACCUCGGAUCAGGUAGGAAUACCCGCUGAACUUAAGCAUAUCAAUAAGCGGAGGAAAAGAAACCAACAGGGAUUGCCCUAGUAACGGCGAGUGAAGCGGCAACAGCUCAAAUUUGAAAUCU
rnacentral:misc_RNA from 1 species